UACUGAUGUUGCUUCUAGAGGACUCGAUGUUGCAGAUAUCUAUAAUGUCAUUAACUAUGACAUGCCUGCCAAUGGAGAAUCUUAUGUUCAUCGAAUAGGGAGGACAGCAAGAGGGGGCCGAAAAGGAAGAGCUUUUUCUUUAGUAACAAAAAAUGAUAUAGGUGUUGUGAAAUCUCUAGUACAGAUGUAUAACAGGCACCAAAAGAAAGUACCAGAUGAGUUAGCACAAAUGGUGUUUUCAGAUCGCAGACACAGUUCAAAGAGAGGCAUAAGGUUUGAUAGAGUAGACCCAUUGUGGAGAGAAUAGACAUUGAUACCGGAAAACUACAAUGUAUUACAAGAAAACAGAAGGAACAUGAUGUGUCUCUGAGUUUCGUUUGUUGCUUGAGAAAGAUUGUUGUCGUGAUUUUAGGACGAUCAAAUACUUGAUUGUGGUAGUCUUGAUUGCAUUGUAACUAGCAGCCAGUCAAAGACCAAACAAUUAACAGACGUUUUUCCUUGCUUCUUCAUUGAUGGUGUAUCAUUGUUAUUGUUGAGUCAUCAGAGGUGUUUAUCAAUGGAAUGGAAGUUGAUCUGGUGAUACAAGGCUGUACUUGGCAAACAUUUGAGGAAUGUAUUAUGAAUAUGUUGAUAAUUUACAGUCCAACACCUUGUAUAUUUAUUUCAUGUGCUUGUCAUAAAAAUCACAAAUAUUACAAAAUGUUUUUCUCUAAAUAUCUAUUUCUUAAUGAAAUAAAAUUAUCACACUGGACAUGAAAUUGUGCUGGUGGAGAGAAGACGAACCAAGGGCUCAUGAUGGUGACUCCAUUAGGCAUUUUGGGGACCAUAAAGAGCUUAAUAAGGAGACACUAUACAGCAACCUGGGGGAUAAAAAGUGCUCAUGGUGACACCAUAUGACAUUAAUUGGACAUGAGAGCUCAAUAUGAGGACACCUUGUCAUACUCAAGGGACAAGACCUCAUUAUCACACUAUCACCAGAUGGUACUUUUGGGGCAAUAUUGUACAUAAUGUGAUGUGUUGCAUAUUAGUGAGAAUGGAAGCUCUUAAAUCACAAACUGUGAGAAAAUACUGCCAGUUUCUUAUUAUUACGAGUAGAAGAAAAUGUUUUACAAUAAAGUAGAAAAUGUUUUAA